rnacentral:rRNA from 1 species
GACGAACGCUGGCGGCGUGCUUAACACAUGCAAGUCGAACGAUGAAGCUGGAGCUUGCUCUGGUGGAUUAGUGGCGAACGGGUGAGUAACACGUGAGUAACCUGCCCUGGACUCUGGGAUAACCCCGAGAAAUCGGAGCUAAUACCGGAUAGGACCUCGGAUCGCAUGAUCUGGGGUGGAAAGUUUUUCGGUCUGGGAUGGACUCGCGGCCUAUCAGCUUGUUGGUGAGGUAAUGGCUCACCAAGGCGUCGACGGGUAGCCGGCCUGAGAGGGUGACCGGCCACACUGGGACUGAGACACGGCCCAGACUCCUACGGGAGGCAGCAGUGGGGAAUAUUGCACAAUGGGCGCGAGCCUGAUGCAGCAACGCCGCGUGCGGGAUGACGGCCUUCGGGUUGUAAACCGCUUUUAGUAGGGAAGAAGCCUCUUGGGGUGACGGUACCUGCAGAAAAAGGACCGGCUAACUACGUGCCAGCAGCCGCCGUAAUAC